rnacentral:rRNA from 1 species
AGAACGAACGCUGGCGGCAUGCCUAAUACAUGCAAGUCGAACGAACUCUUCGGAGUUAGUGGCGCACGGGUGCGUAACGCGUGGGAAUCUGCCCCUUGGUUCGGAAUAACAGUUGGAAACGACUGCUAAUACCGGAUGAUGACGAAAGUCCAAAGAUUUAUCGCCAAGGGAUGAGCCCGCGUAGGAUUAGCUAGUUGGUGAGGUAAAGGCUCACCAAGGCAACGAUCCUUAGCUGGUCUGAGAGGAUGAUCAGCCACACUGGGACUGAGACACCGGCCCAG